AAAUUGAAGAGUUUGAUCAUGGCUCAGAUUGAACGCUGGCGGCAGGCCUAACACAUGCAAGUCGAACGGUAACAGGAAGCAGCUUGCUGCUUCGCUGACGAGUGGCGGACGGGUGAGUAAUGUCUGGGAAACUGCCUGAUGGAGGGGGAUAACUACUGGAAACGGUGGCUAAUACCGCAUAACGUCGCAAGACCAAAGAGGGGGACCUUCGGGCCUCUUGCCAUCAGAUGUGCCCAGAUGGGAUUAGC
rnacentral:rRNA from 13 species